CAUAUCUCCAAAGGGGAGUAGCGUCCAAGAAAAUUUCUUGGAAACAAAGUCGUCAUUACGUAGAACUUAGUUCUUCCGGCUUUGUUGGCAUUUUCAUUACAUAUGUCUAGCAAGACCUUUGCCUAUUAACGGCAGAGGUCUUUUUUGUAUUCAUUUCCAGAUUCUUCCAAAGUU
rfam:Bacillus thuringiensis serovar israelensis ATCC 35646 sq1870, whole genome shotgun sequence.